CUAGCCUGCUGGAAGUGACGAAGGCCGUAAAUUGUUCCUGCUUAUUGGAUUGCAGGGGCUGUGAAGGACUUCCUGGAAAUAACUCCAGCUUAUAGACCGUACCCCAAACCGACACAGGUGGGCUGGUAGAGUAUACCAAGGCGCUUGAGAGAAUGAUGUUGAAGGAACUCGGCAAAUUGCCCUCGUAACUUCGGAAGAAGAGGGCCCCAUUGAUGGGCAACCAUUGGUGGGGGGCACAGACCAGGGGGUGGCGACUGUUUAACAAAAACACAGGGCUCUGCGAAGUCUGUAAGACGACGUAUAGGGUCUGACGCCUGCCCGGUGCCGGAAGGUUAAGAGGAGGGGUGCAAGCUCUGAAUCGAAGCCCCGGUAAACGGCGGCCGUAACGAUAACGGUCCUAAGGUAGCGAAAUUCCUUGUCGGGUAAGUUCCGACCUGCACGAAUGGCGUAACGACUUCCCCGCUGUCUCCAACAUCAACUCAGCGAAAUUGAAUUCCCCGUGAAGAUGCGGGGUACCCGCGGUCAGACGGAAAGACCCCAUGCACCUUUACUAUAGCUUUGCAGUGGUAUUAGGGAAUGAAUGUGUAGGAUAGGUGGGAGCCUAUGAAGCGCCGGCGCUAGUCGGUGUGGAGGCAACGUUGAAAUACCACCCUUUUGUUCUCUGAUAUCUAACCGCGCCCCCAUGAAGCUGGGGCCGGGACCCUGCAUGGUGGGUAGUUUGACUGGGGCGGUCGCCUCCCAAAGAGUAACGGAGGCGCGCGAUGGUAGGCUCAAGCUGGUCGGAAAUCAGCUGUUGAGUGCAAUGGCAUAAGCCUGCCUGACUGCGAGACUGACAAGUCGAGCAGAGACGAAAGUCGGUCAUAGUGAUCCGGUGGUUCCACGUGGACGGGCCAUCGCUCAACGGAUAAAAGGUACGCUGGGGAUAACAGGCUGAUCUCCCCCAAGAGUCCAUAUCGACGGGGAGGUUUGGCACCUCGAUGUCGGCUCAUCACAUCCUGGGGCUGGAGCAGGUCCCAAGGGUAUGGCUGUUCGCCAUUUAAAGUGGUACGUGAGCUGGGUUCAGAACGUCGUGAGACAGUUCGGUCCCUAUCUGCCGUGGGUGUUGGAGUAUUGAGAGGAUUUGCCCCUAGUACGAGAGGACCGGGGUGAACGCACCUCUGGUGUACCGGUUGUCGCGCCAGCGGCAUCGCCGGGUAGCUAUGUGCGGACGGGAUAACCGCUGAAAGCAUCUAAGCGGGAAACCCACCUCAAAACUAGUACUCCCUAUGAGAGCCGUGAGAGACCAUCACGUUGAUAGGCCAGAUGUGGAAGCGCAGUAAUGCGUGUAGCUAACUGGUACUAAUUGCUCCAUUGGCUG
rnacentral:rRNA from 1 species